rnacentral:rRNA from 1 species
AUUGAACGCUGGCGGAAUGCUUUACACAUGCAAGUCGAACGGCAGCACGGACUUCGGUCUGGUGGCGAGUGGCGAACGGGUGAGUAAUGUAUCGGAACGUGCCCAGUCGUGGGGGAUAACGUAGUGAAAAUUACGCUAAUACCGCAUUCGAUCUAUGGAUGAAAGCGGGGGAUCGCAAGACCUCGCGCGAUUGGAGCGGCCGAUAUCAGAUUAGGUAGUUGGUGGGGUAAAGGCCCACCAAGCCAACGAUCUGUAGCUGGUCUGAGAGGACGACCAGCCAAACUGGAAAAGGGGCACGGUCCAGACUCCUUAGGGAGGCAGCAGUGGGGAAAUUUGGACAAUGGGCGAAAGCCUGAUCCAGCCAUUCCGCGUGCAGGAUGAAGGCCCUCGGGUUGUAAACUGCUUUUGGACAGAACGAAAAGGUUUCUACUAAUACUAGGAGCUCAUGACGGUACUGUAAGAAUAAGCACCGGCUAACUACGUGCCAGCCGCCGCGGUAA